AAGCAUGCCAAAUUAAUCACACUUCUUAAACACAUCUCUUGACCGGGGUGUUCUCACCAUGCCCUUUCUACAAACAAAAAGAAGGCAAUGUAUCGCAUCCUGUAUUACCUUCCCCUGACCUCAUAGCUUCCCAAAACAGGAACAAUCAUGGGCUUUGAAGUUACAGGAAUGCAGAUGUGAUUCCUAUGGAUGAGGGUAACCUAGAGGCUAGAAGAACAAUAGGACAGAAGAAGCCUGGGUCCCUGAACAACCUUGUGGAGCAUAGACACCUACGUGGCCUGGACUGCCAGCUCACAAUGGGCCUCUCUGUGAGAGAAGGAAACUUCCCUCUUGUUUAAGCAACUGUGCUUUUGAGAAUCUCUUGGUCUAUACCCUAAUGAAUAAGGCCAUCAUAAAUGGAUAUCAAAGUAAGGAAA
rnacentral:lncRNA from 1 species